AUUGAACGCUGGCGGCAUGCUUUACACAUGCAAGUCGAACGGUAACAGGGAGCUUGCUCCGCUGACGAGUGGCGAACGGGUGAGUAAUGCGUCGGAACGUGCCGAGUAGUGGGGGAUAACGCAUCGAAAGGUGUGCUAAUACCGCAUACGUACUGAGGUAGAAAGUGGGGGACCUUCGGGCCUCACGCUAUUCGAGCGGCCGACGUCUGAUUAGCUAGUUGGUGAGGUAAAGGCUCACCAAGGCGACGAUCAGUAGCGGGGCUGAGAGGAUGAGCCGCCACACUGGGACUGAGACACGGCCCAGACUCCUACGGGAGGCAGCAGUGGGGAAUUUUGGACAAUGGGCGCAAGCCUGAUCCAGCCAUGCCGCGUGUCUGAAGAAGGCCUUCGGGUUGUAAAGGACUUUUGUCCGGGAGCAAAUGCCUGGUGUUAAUAGCAUCGGGAGCUGAGAGUACCGGAAGAAUAAGCACCGGCUAACUACGUGCCAGCCGCCGCGGUAAGAC
rnacentral:rRNA from 1 species